rnacentral:lncRNA from 1 species
GUGUUCCCAGGCUGGUCUCGAACUCCUGGCCUCAAGUGAUCCUCCUGCCUUGGCCUCCCAAAGUGCUGGGAUUACAGGUGUGAGCCACUGCGUCUAGCAUCCAUAAUAUUAGUCAUGUACAGACAGAAGGCAUGAUUGGCAUUUUAAAAAUUAGUUUUGUUAUUACUUUAUUUAUUCUGCUGGCAGUCUUUAUCCCAGCACUGAAUGGCUGGCAUUUUUAAUUUGAAACAAUGAAUUACAAACUGUAAUGAUAAAAUUAAUUUUAAAAACAAUAAAUUGGCAGAUAGUUCCCUCCAUCCUUCUGCACAUGUUCCACACUGCAGCCAGCCUGGGCCACUCACUACUUUCUGAAGGUAUCCUGGCUUUCUCUCUUCCAUGCCCAGGCUUUCCACCCCUCUCCUAGUCCACCCCCACCAACAUGUGAACAAGGAAGCUGCAAGGAUUCUUUCUGUUCUGUGUUUCAGAAUCUGUGAUACUAUAAACUCACACUCCAAUACCUCGGAGAUGGUUUACCUCAAAAGAUCAAAUCUACUUCAUAUUUAUAUUCAAUGAAUAAUUAGUGGAAGCUAAUUAUGUGAAGGUAUAACAAUAGAUAAAGUGCUAAGUGCUGCAGGGAAUACAAAAAUAUACCGCCAUAUGUGGCCUUAAGGAACUACCAUUCUCUCCCCUCCUUUGUUUUAUCAUCUAUUACUGUAUAGGAUCUUAGUCUCCCUACUGUUUUGCUCAAUGCCUUAUUGAUCAGAAAGUUUCUGAGGUCAAGGGAUUCUCUAUUGGAUUAACUCACUCUGCCAGUCCGUCUCUGCUGCUUUGCUACUGAGUUUCUGAUACAGAAUCAGACAAUAGGUAGGUCAGCUUUUGCCAAACUUAUUACCCAACAUUUUUCUUCUCUGAGGUUCUCACACAGCACAGCUAUUCUUGUCACUGCAGAGAUGGCUCUGAAUGACAGCUUCUCCCUAACCUCAUCACUCCAGCUACCACUAAGCAGGGACCUCUUUCCUUCCACAAAAUUUGCGCCAGGUCGGUGUGGUGACCCAGGCCUACAAUCCCAGCACUUUGGGAAGAGGAGGCGGGAAGAUCGCUUGAGCACAGGAGUCUGAAACCAGCCUGGGUAACAACGUGAGAUCCUGUCUCUACAAAAAAUAAAAACAGAAAAAAAAAAUUAGCCAAACAUGGUGGUGCAUGCCUGUAGUCCCAGCUACUGAGAGGCUGAGGCUGAGGCUGAGGUGGCUGCUUAAGCCCAGGAAGUUGUGGACGUAGUGAGCUAUAAUCAGGCCAUUACACUCCAGCCUGGGCGACAGAGCAAGACCCUGUCUCAAAACAAAAUCAACCAAUCAAACAAACAAAAAACCCCCAAAUUUACUCUACGUCCUUUUUGUUUUUCCUUUUCUUCCCCCGAAGGUGAACGCCUCCCUGAAAAUCAGUACUCAUUUAAGUUGUAUUAUUUGUAACUUUUUUUUUUUUUGACACAAGGUCACCUGUCACCAAGGCUGGAGUGCAGUGGUGCAAUGUCAGCUCACUGCAACCUCCGUCUCCUGGGCUGAAGUGAUCCUCCCACUUCAGCCUCCCAAGUGGCUGGGACUAUUCCUGGCUAAUUUUAGUAUUUUUAGUACAGACAGGGGUCUCAAGAUGUUGCCCAGGCUGGUCUCGAACUCCUGAGCUCAAGCAAUCCCCCAGCCUCAGCCUCCCAAAGUGCUGGGAUUGCAGGUGUGAGUUCUUUAUAGCAGUGUGAAAAUGGAGUAAUAACAAGGUAUUUAUGGACCUUAAAGCAGGAGUGUAAGGGUAAUUUUGACCACAUUCGUUACACAGGUCAUGGUAAACGAUUACAUUUGUACACAUUUUGGUGCCUUGACGUCAGCAAGGGUUGCCCAGUAACUUCUGACACACAUUCAUUCCGGAGAUGUAUAAAAAUUCUAGUUACUUACAUUAAAUACAUUUUUGGUAAAGAAGCCUAGUACAAGAUGCCGGCUUUAGAUAAUAGGGCAGUCUAAUGACUUCUGAAUUCCUCAGAUAAGGAGUUUUGCCUCCAGAUGGUCUGCUUGAUGGCCACCAGGUGAUCUUUGCUGUCCUCAAAAGUAUGUGAAAAUACCUGAAUUAAAUAUAAUUGUUUAUUAUCCACAAAGAAAUAUGGUCAAAUGGAACCAGCUUGAACCUGGGCAAAGAUCCAGGGCACUAGAUUUGCUUCCCGAGCUUCCCUGGGUUUGCUUUCUAGAUUAUACCUCGUUAGCCCAAAUAAUUACCCAGGACUAGGGGGAAAUGAGGGUGGCAGUGAAGUCUAGCGAUGAUGCCAAUACCCACAUCUGUCAAUACGGCAUUUCUUCAAGAGGCUUGCAAGUUGUUCAGCCCCAGGAGAAGAUACAAAAAAACACGGUACUCUCCUACAUCUCAGGAAUGAGGACAGAGGCUGUGAUGGAAGAGGUGGUGCGUUCAUAUAAGUUCUUUAAGACUCAGAAUGAUGAAAAUGCCAUAAGUAGCCUGUAAUUUUUCAUGGCAUUUGAUUUUUUUUACUCCAGUUAAAAAAUAAAAAAUAUUACAUGAGUAUUAUCUAGUCACAGUGAAAUUAAAUAUCAUUUUAUUGAAUAUUUGUUUUUGUGUAAGAGUUAUCAAUAAUUUCAAAUAUUACAGAGUUCAUGAAAAGAUGUCUAUUUCAACUUUCAGAAAACAUUUGUGGAAUGCCUGCCAUGUACCGGACGGUGGGGAAGUUCCCCGUUAACUCUCCCCUCAUGGUUCUCGUUGUUUCUCACUCCCUUCUUAGGUUGAAAUUAAGAUUUAAGAGCCUUUCUGUUAGAUUUUUAGAAAUUCAUUUAUUUGCAAAUUACAGUGAAAAAUUUCUCUUCCAGAUGCAUAUAAAUCCGAAGUUUUUAUCCUAGUGAAGCGUACAGAAUGCUAUUGUUAUGACAUUUAAGUAUCAUAACAUAAUGUAGCUAAUAAAGCUUUUUAAAAAUUAUGGUAAAGUGUAUGUGAAAUUUACCAUUAGUGACAUUGAGUACCUUCACCAUGUUGUGCAAUCAUCCCCAAUAAGUAGUUCCAGAACAUUUUCAUCACCCUAGAAGGAAACUCCUUUUUAGCAAUCUCUCCCCACUCCUUUCUCUCAGCUUCUUACAACCAUUUAUCUGCUUUCUGUCUCCAUGGAUUUGCCUAUUUUGGAUAUUUCAUAUAAAUGCACUCAUGCAAUACGUUGCCUUUUGUGUCUGCCUUCUUUCACUUGGCAAAAAUGCGCUCAAGGCUCAUCCAUGCUUUAGCAUGUAUCAGUCCCUCAUUUCUCUUUAUGGCUGAAUAUUCUAUUGUGCCGUGUGGAGAUACCACAAUUUGUUUAUUCAUUCAUCAGCUGAUGGCCAUUUGGGUUGUUUCCUCUUUUUUGGCUACUGUGACUAGUGCUGCAAUGAAUAUUUGCGUGAAAGUUUUUGCUUGAACACCUGUUUUCAGUUCUUUUCAGUAUAUGCCCAGGAGUGGACUUGCUGGGUCAUAUGGUAAUUCUUUUUUUUAACUUAUUGAGGAACUGCCAAACUGUUUUCCACAGUGGCUACACCAUUUAACAUUCCCACCAACAACGAAUGAAGGUUUUCAAUUUCUCCACAUCCUCUCUAACAUUUAUUUUCUCUAUUAUUCAUUUUUUUUCCUGUAGGUUUAGAUCCUAGGUCUAUUUCGUCAUUCUAAUAGGUGUGAAGUGGUAUCUUCUUGUGGCGCUGAUUUGCAUAAUGACUGAUGAGGUUGAGUGCUUUCCAUGUGCUUGUCGGCCAUUUGUAUAUCUUCAUUAGAGAAAUGUCUAUUUAAGUCCUUUGCCCAUUUUAAAAUUGGUUUGUCUUUUUGUUGUCGAGCAUCGGAGUUCCUUAUAUAUUCUAGGUAUUAGUUCCUUACCAGAUAUGUAAGAUUUACAAAUAUUUUCUCCCAUUCUGUGGGUUGUCUUUUCACUUUCUUCAUAGUGUCCCUUGAUAUGUAGAAGCUUUUAAUUUUGAUUUUUUUUUUUUUUUUUUUUUUUUGCUGUUGUUGCUUGUGCUUUUGGUGCCAUAUCUAAGAAACCAUUGCCAAAUCCAAGGUCAUGAAGAUUUAUUCCUGUAUUUUCUUCUCAAAGUUUUAUGGUUUUAGCUCUUACAUUUAGGUCUUUGAUCUAUUUUGAAUUAAUUUUUAUAUAUGGUAUGAAGUACAGGUACAAAUUCAUUCUUUUGCAUGUGAAUAUUCACUUGUCUUAGCACUAUUAGUUGAAGACACUGUUCUUUCUUCAUUGAAUGGUCCUGGAACCCUUGUCAAAAAUCAAUUGACCAUAGUGUAUUGGCGUAAUUUGUUUCUGGACUUUCCAUUCUACUCUAUUGCUUUAUAUAUUUUUAUACCAGCACAACACUGUUUUGAUUGAAGUAGCUUUGCAGUAAAUUUUGAAAUUGGAAAAUGUGAGUCCUUCAACUUUAUUCUUGUUCAAGAUUGUUUUGAACAGACUUGAGUACCUUCAGUAACUUGCAAUCCCAUAUAAAUUCUAGGGUCAGCUUUUCAGUUUCUGUAAAAGGGUCACUGGAAUUUUAAUGGGGAUUGUAUUAAAUCUAUAGACUAAUUUUGGGAGUAAUGCCAUCUUAACAAUGUUAAGUCUUCCAACCUGCCAGCACAGGAUGUCUUCCAUUUAUUUAGGUCUUCUUUAAUUUCUUUCAGCAACGUUUUGUACUUUUCAGUGUCCAAGUCUUGCACUUUCUUGGUCAAAUUUAUUUCUAAGUAUUUUAUUCUUUUUCAUGUUAUUGUAAAUGAAAUUGUUUUAAUUUCCCCUCAGGUUUUUCUUAGACUUUUGUGUGUUGAUCUUGCAACCUGCAACAUUGCUGAAUUUUUAAAAUCAGCCGGAAUCAUUUUGUGGAUUCUUUAGGAUUUUUAAUAUAUAGGACCAUGUUUUCUGCAAAUGUAGUUUUACUUCUUCCUAUUUGGGAUUCAUUUUAUUUCUUUUUCUUGCCUAAUUGCUCUGGCUAGACCUUCUAGUAUAAUGUUGAAUAGCAGUGGGGAAAUCAGGAAUUUUCAUGAUAUUAGGGGAAAAAUUUUCAAUGUUUUGCUAUUAUGUUGUUAGCUGUGGGUUUUUAUGGAUGUCUUUAUCAGGUUAAGAAAGUUCCCUUUUCUUCCUAGUUUGCAGAGUGUUUUUACCAUGAAAGGGUGUUGGAUUUUUGUCAAAUGCUUUUUCUUAUCAAUUGAGGUGAUCAUGCUGUUUUUUCCCCUUCAUUCUAUUAAUAUGGUAUAUUAUUACAUCGAUUGACAUUUGUAUGUAGAACCAUCCCUGCAUUUCUUUGAUAAAUCUCACUUGGUCAUGCUGUGUGAUCAUUUUAAUAAGCUGCUGGAUUUGGCCUGCUAGUAUUUUGAAGUUUUUUUGCAUCUAUAUUCAUAAGGGAUAUUGGUCUGUAGCUUCCCUGUGAGGUCUUUGUCUGGCUUUGGUGUUAAGGUAAUGUCCGCCUUAUAGAAUGUCACAGGGUGCUCCUUUCUCUUCCAUUUUUUGGGAGAGUUCGAGAAGGAUUAGUGUUAAUUCUUCUUUAUAUGUUUGGCAUAGUUUGCCAGUAAACUCAUUUAGUCCUGGACUUUCUUUGUUGGGAGAUUUUUGAUUACUGGUUCAAUCUCUUUACUUGUUACAGGUCUGUUUGGAUUUUUUAUUUCCUUUUGAGCCAGUUUUGUCAAUUGGUGUGUUUUUUCAUCGAGGUCAUCUAAAUUGUUGGCAACAAUGCUUCUAUGAAUAAAUUUGUUUAUAGUUAAGUUGCCUAAAAUACCAUGCAAUUCAUCUAAUAUGUAUAAAACUUGAAAUAUAUUAUAUUGCAUCUACUUUUCUAAAUCAAAACAUGUAAAAUUCCAUAAGAGAUUUAAACAAAAGUCUUCCCUAAAUACUAAGGAACCAAAAUUUUCUGAUUGGGUGUUACUGGUAAAUUUUAUUACUAUAGAGCAUAAACCCUCUUUUUUUUAUUAAAAUAAUUCCUCACAUAAAAUGAAAUCUUUUAUUUUUUUUUUAUUUAUUUUUUUUUGAUGGAGUCUCGCUCUGUCACCCAGGCUGGAGUGCAGUGGUGCGAUCUUGGCACACUGCAAGCUCCUCCUCCUGGGUUCACGCCAUUCUCCCGCCUCAGCCUCCCGAGUAGCUGGGCGUACAGGCACCCGCCACCACGCCUGGCUAAUUUUUUUUUAUUUUUUAUUUUUAGUAGAGACGGGGUUUCACUGUGUUAGCCAGGAUGGUCUCCAUCUCCUGACCUCGUGAUCCGCCCACCUCAGCCUCCCAAAGUGCUGGGAAUUAUAGGCGUGAGCCACUGUGCCCGGCCGAAAUCUUUCUUUUUCUACCUAGUGGCAGGAAUAGUAAGAGUGAAGACUGCUGAGUGAGAAGGUCUUUGUAUGAAUCCCUGCUCUGCCACUUACUUGCAAUAUAUAACCUUGGGGCUAACUUCUCUGUACCCCAAUUUCCUUAGCUAUAAAAAGGGAAUAGAACUACCUCAUAAGGUUGUUAUAAGGAUUAAGUGCAUUGAUGCAUACAAAAACUUUGAUUCCUAGUUCACAAUAAACAAUAUUAGCAAAUAUUAUUUUCCGUAAGGUGGUUAUUAACUGGGGUUAAAAUAAAAAGCAUCUUAGACAUCUCAAUGACUUAUAUCUUAUAGGAUUUAUCACAAAAUGUUACUGCCCAGUGCAUUUUUGCAAACAAUAACAAUUCACUGAGAGUAAUAACAUUCACAUAUGUAAUUAGAGUUUAAAAAUGUAAAAAACUUAGGGUAACAAACACUUUAAACUUAUUUUUUAGACAUUCAAUAAGCCCAUUCUCCCACAAACUGUUUGAUUACAAAGAAGCACAAUGGGUUAACUGUGGCAAAACAUAAGAAAUAAGGCAGGGGAGGCAGAUACAGACUUGAGAACAUAAGGAUAUCCAAACAAUUUUGUCAAUAUCAAAAGACAAAAUCAAAACAUCUUUUAUAAUAUAAAACAAAUCCAUAUAAUUAAAUACUAAUUAGGUGAAAGAUUAUAGGGUAUAUAACAUUUAUUUUCUCUACAUAAAUUUGCAUAUCUUAAAUUUAAUGCAAAACAUCAUGUUUCAACUUCAACUUAACAUCAUAACAUGUAGUUCUUGGUGAGUCUAGAUGUAAUGGAAUGAAUAUUUAAAUAGACUUCAAAGAUCCUAUCAAGUUUUUAUUUGGUUAUUGUUGCUUUAAGUCCUUAAUGCUUUUCUUUAUUUAUUGGACUAAGCCAAUUUUAGAAACAAAAUCCACAACCAACACACAUAUAAUGCAGAUGUUUCUGAAAAAACUAAAUAGUGUUAUCUUUAGUAUAUCAUUAAAAUAGUGGUUGUGGUUAAACAAACAAGCAAACAAAUUACUGCAACUCAUUUAUGAUAAGCUUACAAAAAGUAACAUUUUAAAGUUUCAUCUGGUGUGUUUGCACUGUAGGAAAAUAAAUCUGGAUGUGAGUAAGAUGUGCUUGACUGAAUAAAUGAAACCCCCAGUUAGCACUGGGUUAUGUUCCAGAGCAGUGCAUUCGUCCUCACUUAUUACUUCGGGAAUGUGUGAUCACAAUCCACCAGCUGCAGGUUUUAAUUUACUAAGAAAUGAAAGGAAUUAAUCCUGGUCCAUCCACUGCUUCCUCCCUUGUUUUACUAUCUUCAUUUUGACAUCAGGCACUUUGUGCCCAGGAUUGUGACAAUGCACAUUUACUAAAAAUGUAUCCAUUGAUAGAAUAAUUAUACUAAAUUAAUAAAGGAAGACGGUGUCUUCAUGUAGAAAACGGGGCACUAAAUUAUAAUUUUACAGUCACAACACAAGCUCCAGCUCUUCCUAGGCACAGUGGAGCAACCUAAAAAGGAAAAAGAGAUAUGUAUUGGAUCUGUAGGUUAAAAUGUCAACACUACUAUGCCAGUUGGUGAAAUAUUGAAACAGCCUGUACUUGUUGGCAAAGGGUUGUUGCCCUGGCCCCUGCUGUAUCAGCGCUGUUUCUGGCCUGGUCCCCUUCCCAAGAGCCACCUUCCAUGGCAAAGUUUCAUAGACUAAGUUGUUUUGGGUACAUCAUGAUUGUGUAGCAUUCAUUCUUCUUUAAAGGUGAUUUUUAAAACAGCUCAAGAAUUAAUCUACAUGAAACACUCUAUUUUAGCCAAAAUGAUACACAGUAUGGAUAUGAAGAAAUGCUGAACACUUACAGUAACUCUGUGACCAAUAUGGAGGAAAGAUCAAGUGUUAUCUAGAGAGGUCCUCUAACAGCCAUGCUAUCUCAGAGGUAGCACACAAAAUACUCUGAAUGCCUGGGGAUCUGCUUAUUCUAGAAGAACUCAUAACCUCACAUUUUUUGACUACCUUCUACGUGCAUGGCUGAAAAGUCUAAACCCAUUCUACUACUUUUUAGCAGACUAAAUAAAUAAUAAAUGCUACCCAUCCAACUCCCCUGGGAGUGGAAACAAACUCAGUGAAUGAGCUCUAUUACAGUGAGAUAGAAGUCAGGGGAGGGUUGCUAGGGGAAGGAAUGCAAUCUAAAUUUAUGGAUAAAGAACAAUUCUUAAAUCUUUCACCUCUUUUUUGAACAAUAGGAACUCUAGACACUGGGUAAUUCAUAGUGGAAAUAAAAGUGUGGACAAAAAUAGUUCUGAAGAAUUACUCUGAACACAGUAAGAAUCUAUGCAUUUGACCCAGGAGAGUUAAAAUGUUAACAUGGAUUCAGCGGGUGAGUAAUGCAAAGUACUAAGAAAGUUUGCUUUGUACUUAUAUAUGUUAGGGUAUGUACUAAAGUAUUUUUGUCAAAUGCCAAAAUGACUUCCUAAUCAGUUCGACCCCCUAGACCAAUGAGUAGAUUUUAAGAACAGGUCAGACUUCAGUUAUAAGAGAAUUCUCAGUAGUUCUCCAUCUGAAUCAGUUGUUUUGAUCACUGUAAGUCUCUUGGAACAAUCAACCUAUUUUAAAACCAUACUUAUUGAUAGCAUUAUCGAACUGACCUCAAAAAUCAUUUAUAUCAAAAUGUCAGUUUAUAAUUAGUAGCUCUUCUCAAAUCAUCCAAGACACUUAGUCUCUACAUUGUGAAUAGCUGACACUGUCAUGACAACUAGCUAGAAAGUGUAGCUUAGAGAAUUUGUUAAAUACAAUGCAAUCACCUCUUGCUUUGAGGUAAGGCUGGUAGUGAGGUGGGUAGUGGCUUAGGACUUUGUCAUCUCAUUUUAGUGCCUAUACAAAUGUCCAUCUGUCAGAACACUGAAAGGAAAACUUCAAAAUUUUUUUGUUUGUUUGGCUUGUUUUUGAGAUGGAGUCUUGCACUGUCACCCAGGCUGGAGUGCAAUGGCACAUCUCGGCUCACUGCAACCUCCACCUCCUGGGUUCAAGCAAUUCUCAUGCCGCAGCCUCCUGAGUAGCUGGGACUACUGGCACACACCACCAUACCUGGCUAAUUUUUUGUAUUUUAGUAGAGACAGGGCUUUACCAUGUUGCCCAGGCUGUCUCGAACUCCUGAGCUCAGGCAAACCACCUGCUUCGGCCUCCCAAAGUGCCGGGAUUACAGGGGUGAGCCACCAUGCCUGGCCCAGGAAAACUUUUAUUUUUCAGACACUAUGAUAACGAGUUCACAUUUUUAGGUGCUUUAACAUAGAGAGGUGGCUUGCAAGCAAAAUAGCUAUGUGGACACUGAUGAUCAAUUUUGAUAUGGGGUGAUUUAGCAUAAAGCAUUAAUUAUAAAUAAUAACAAGUCUCAAAUAACUGGCUGAUAGGUCUUAAAUCAUAUAUAUAACUGGACUUAGGGCUUAAAUACAUGUCAGAAAAAGAGAUUCUUAUCUUUCUGAGCUCCUUGGGUGUCAUUCACAACUAUUUUUGCCAUAGUGGGAAGCUGAUAUUAGGUAAUCAUCUAAUUUCCAAUGAAAUCUUGUAGCUCUCAAUCUUAUCCCUUCCUCCCUCCAUCAAGUGAUCUCACUUAAGAAACAGGAUAAAGCCCACACAAUCUAAGUCCUUUUCUUCUCUUUCUCUUCACUUAAAAACUCCCUGUACCUUUCUACACUCAAAUUCUCAUCUUUUCCCAAGCCUUGGAGGGUAAGAUCUUUCUUCUAGUCUGAGGGUGACCAGUCUGCUUUUUUUUUUUGAGAGGGAGUUUUGCUCUUGUCACCCAGGCUGGAGUGCAAUGGCGCGAUCUCGUCUCACCACAACCUCCGCCUACUGAGUUCAAACAAUUGUCCUGCCUCAGCCUCCUAA